AGAAAUCUAGUGACUUAAAAUAAGGUUAGAAGCCUUGUUUUGGUUUAACCCUAUUUCCUAAUAGAAAUAUAUUUUUAC
rnacentral:tRNA from 1 species